AACGAACGCUGGCGGCAUGCCUAACACAUGCAAGUCGAACGAGACCUUCGGGUCUAGUGGCGCACGGGUGCGUAACGCGUGGGAACCUGCCCUUAGGUUCGGAAUAACUCCCCGAAAGGGGUGCUAAUACCGGAUAAUGUCUUCGGACCAAAGAUUUAUCGCCUUUGGAUGGGCCCGCGUUGGAUUAGCUAGUUGGUAGGGUAAAAGCCUACCAAGGCGACGAUCCAUAGCUGGUCUGAGAGGAUGAUCAGCCACACUGGGACUGGGACACGGCCCAGACUCCUACGGGAGGCAGCAGUGGGUAAUAUUGGAAAAUGGGCGGAAGCCUGAUCCAGCAAUGCCGCGUGAGUGAUGAAGGCCUUAGGGUUGUAAAGCUCUUUUAUCCGGGAUGAUAAUGACAGUACCGGGAGAAUAAGCUCCGGCUAACUCCGUG
rnacentral:rRNA from 1 species